AGGAGGAGGAGGAGAGGUUUAAAUCAGCAGUAAACAUAAAAAUAGGAUCAAACUAAAGAGGAUAUGCUGCACUAUGCAAAUUUGGGUAAAUUGCACCAAUAGUCACUAAACUAAACUAAUUACUAAAUUCUAUUGCGGUCACAAAAGAUUAAUUUAUUACAAUUAGGUCCCUAAAUUUUGAUUUUAUUUCAACUAAAUCUAAUUAAACAUAUUACAAUCAAUCAGUGAAUGGAAAUUUGUAGUUGUCAUUUUGUAUGCUUUUCUUAGCUUGAUAUCAAACAAUUUAGGAUCCAUAAGGUCUACUUAUAGUGUUGUUACUCUUUCUUAACAAGCUAAAAACCCCAAGAGAAUAUAACUAUGUAUUUAUCCUGUGGGCCCCAAAUGGCUUAAUGCUUAAUGAAACAAUAAAAAUAUUGUCUAUGUUAGUUUUUGGCUGAAUAACUGAUUAAAAUUUAUUCAAUUAGACCAUUGAAGUUUAGUGAAAUAAUUGUAAUAAACUGAUCUUUUGUGACCGAAAUAGAAUUCAAUGGUUAGUCUAGUGAUCUUUGAUGCAAUUUACCCUGCAAAUUUUCAUUUGCACCCUUCAUUCAACUGCAAAAGAAUCGGAUUUUAGCAGCAUGAGUUACAUAUUGCCAUUUUACCAAAUUUAGGAUAAUAUAUUUCAGCUCUCUACCAUUAUUAAGAAAGUUCCUUGUGGUUAUCCUUUAACUCUAAUUGAGCACUGAACACUUGCAAUAUGCUAGAGAAUAACCUGAGAAUCUUUGGGCAAAAAAAAAAAGUAACUUCUCAAGCCACUUGUUGAAUCCAACCUUCCAACUUUGUUAAUGACUUUAUGGAAAGCACUUGCAGCAGCUCCUCUAUGGCCUCCUCUGACAUCCCAACUGAC
rnacentral:misc_RNA from 1 species